rnacentral:rRNA from 1 species
UGGGGAAUAUUGGACAAUGGGCGCAAGCCUGAUCCAGCAAUGCCGCGUGAGUGAUGAAGGCCUUAGGGUUGUAAAGCUCUUUCGCACGCGACGAUGAUGACGGUAGCGUGAGAAGAAGCCCCGGCUAACUUCGUGCCAGCAGCCGCGGUAAUACGAAGGGGGCUAGCGUUGUUCGGAAUUACUGGGCGUAAAGGGCGCGUAGGCGGCCUGUUUAGUCAGAAGUGAAAGCCCCGGGCUCAACCUGGGAAUAGCUUUUGAUACUGGCAGGCUUGAGUUCCGGAGAGGAUGGUGGAAUUCCCAGUGUAGAGGUGAAAUUCGUAGAUAUUGGGAAGAACACCGGUGGCGAAGGCGGCCAUCUGGACGGACACUGACGCUGAGGCGCGAAAGCGUGGGGAGCAAACAGAUUAGAUACCCUGGUAGUCCACGCCGUAAAACGAUGAAUGCUAGACGUCGGGGUGCAUGCACUUCGGUGUCGCCGCUAACGCAUUAAGCAUUCCGCCUGGGGAGUACGGCCGCAAGGUU